rnacentral:rRNA from 1 species
UACGGAGGGUGCGAGCGUUGUCCGGAAUCAUUGGGCGUAAAGGGCGCGUAGGUGGCCCGGUCAGUCUUUGGUGAAAGCGCGGGGCUCAACCCUGCGUCGGCCAGGGAUACUGCCGCGGCUCGAGCACUGUAGAGGCAGGCGGAAUUCCGGGUGUAGCGGUGGAAUGCGUAGAGAUCGGGAGGAAGGCCGGUGGCGAAGGCGGCGCUCGUGGAACAUUUCUGACGCUGAGGCUCGAAAGCGUGGGGAGCAAACAGGG